rnacentral:rRNA from 1 species
GGCGCAGCCUGAUCCAGCCAUGCCGCGUGAGUGAUGAAGGCCCUAGGGUUGUAAAGCUCUUUCACCGGUGAAGAUAAUGACGGUAACCGGAGAAGAAGCCCCGGCUAACUUCGUGCCAGCAGCCGCGGUAAUACGAAGGGGGCUAGCGUUGUUCGGAUUUACUGGGCGUAAAGCGCACGUAGGCGGACUUUUAAGUCAGGGGUGAAAUCCCGGGGCUCAACCCCGGAACUGCCUUUGAUACUGGAAGUCUUGAGUAUGGUAGAGGUGAGUGGAAUUCCGAGUGUAGAGGUGAAAUUCGUAGAUAUUCGGAGGAACACCAGUGGCGAAGGCGGCUCACUGGACCAUUACUGACGCUCAGGUGCGAAAGCGUGGGGAGCAAACAGGAUUAGAUACCCUGGUAGUCCACGCCGUACACGAUGAAUGUUAUCCGUUGGGGAGUUUACUCUUCGGUGGUCGCAGCUCACGCAUUACACAUUCCGCCUGGCGAGUACGGUCGCAAGAUUAAGCUCACAGGAAUUGACGCGGGGCCCGCAUCAAGCGGUGGACGCAUGUGGUUUACUUCGAAGCAACGCGUUAUACACCUCUCACCAGGCCCUUGACAUAUCGGUCGCGGACACAGAGAUGUGUCUUGUCACUUCGGCUGGACUCGGCACACAGGUGCUGCAUCGCAUAUGAGAUCA